UUGCCGGCAACCGGCGCACGGGUGAGUAACACGUAUGCAACCUGCCCGUCUCAGGGGGAUAAUCGUCGGAAACGGCGUCUAAUACCCCGUAUGAAGCUGGACGGCAUCGUCUGGUUUUGAAAGAAUAUCGGAGACGGAUGGGCAUGCGGCGCAUUAGGCAGUAGGCGGGGUAACGGCCCACCUAACCGACGAUGCGUAGGGGUUCUGAGAGGAAGGUCCCCCACACUGGUACUGAGACACGGACCAGACUCCUACGGGAGGCAGCAG
rnacentral:rRNA from 1 species